UGGCGGAGCACAGGCUCCGGGCGCGCUGGCUCAGCGGCCAUGGCUCACGGGCCCAGCCGCUCCGCGGCAUGUGGGAUCUUCCCAGACCGGGGCACGAACCCGUGUGCCCUGCAUCGGCAGGUGGACUCUCAACCACUGCGCCACCAGGGAAGCCCGUUUCUGGUUUUUAAGGUAAUACUCCAGCAAACCCUUAACACAUGUCAUGAAAAGACCUUAAGACAAACUCCCCCAAGAUUCAGGGACCGCCUCACUGCUUCGCUGAAAGGAGAUGAUCCAAACUGAACCCUCCACUUCAGGGGACAGGAGCUGUGUUCUCAUCUGUGUUCCCCUAACUUGGUGGAAAGUUUAUUGAAGGCCAAAACUUUCAAGUAGUCAGUAUUUGGGGCUACUCAGAGGAAAGAAAACGUGCUCUUCCAUAUAUUUACAAGGGAAGGGCACACUGGGUAUCAAGCAUGUUAUAUAUAUCUUUUAAGUCCUAUAACUAGCCCAAUAGAUGUGUAUCAUUCCCACUGUACAGAUGUGGAAACUAAGGCUAAGAGUUAAAGGCAUUUGCCCAAGGUCACAGAGCUGAUGAAUGGUUCUGGCAGAACCUUCUACUGCUCAUUACUAUCCAUUUUCUCCUCUUCUUUCUAGGCACGUCUUAAACCAUAUCUCCUGGUCCUCUUGCUAUUAGGCUGACCGCAUUACUGAAUUCUGCCAGUGAAAUACGGACAGAAGUGAUUUUGCCACUUCCAGUCCUAGUCCAUAAAAACCUUGGUACAUCAUGCCCUUUCCCAUCACUAUCUAGAUGACCCAGGGUACCAGGAAGCCAAAAAGAUGGAAGGAGCUUGCUCCCUGAGUGACUACAUGGAACAGAGCACCCUUCACCUUGUCCUCUGCUCCCUGCACUGGACUGUGACUUGGAUGAGGUAAACCUUCACUGUGUUAAUCCACUAAGAGUUUAGUUUGGGGCUUCCCUGGUGACGCAGUGGUUAAGAAUCCGGCUGCCAAUGCAGGAGACACGGGUUCAAGCCCUGGUCCGGGAAGAUCUCACAUGCCACGGAGCAACUAACGCCGUGCACCACAACUACUGAGCCUGCGCUCUAGAGCCCGCGUGCCACAACUACUGAAUCCUGCACGCCUAAAGCCCAUGCUCCACAACAAGAGAAGCCACCACAGUGAGAAGCCCGCGCACUGCAACCGAGAGUAGUCCCCGCUCACCACAACUAGAAAGAGCCCGCGCACAGCCACAAAGACACAGUGCAGCCAAAAGUAAACAAAUUAAAUAAAUAAAUUUAAAAAAAAAAAGAGUUUAGUUUGUCCUGACAGCAUGGUGAAGGCAAGAUCUGACACCAAAUCCAUCAGAUUCUAAAGACCAUCCUCUCUCAUUAAGACGUAUUGACACAAAUACAGCAGAAAUAUUAACGCCCAUCUAUAAAAUAUUAUUUAAUCCCACAGUUCACCUCUCUCCCACCAUGCCUCUCCCACAAACAAGAAUUAGAUUCCUAAAGAUUUUAGAGGAAAUUGGGUAAACAAAAACAUAAAAUCAAGCAAGCAAUCGACAAAUAUUUGUUGACUGCACACUACCUGCCAAGCAUAGACAAAUCUGCUUUUGUUGUCACCCUGAGGUCAUGAACUCUUCCCUUUGCUGUCCCAGACGGGAGGGGAGCAGAGGACAAGGUGGGAGGCAAGCCUAUGCCUUUUCUUUUCAGCAAUGAGAUUCUCCUUGGUUCUCCCAGUGUGUUAAUGAGCUACCUGGGGAGUGUCUGAUUUUAUGUUUGAGAAGAAGAAUAGACUUUCAAUCUGAAAAACAUUUUUUAUAUUUAAAAUACAUUGGGACUUCCCUGACGGUCCAGUGGUUAAGACUCCACACUUCCACUGCAGAGGGCGUGGGUUUGAUCCCUGGUCAGGGAACUAAGAUCCCACAUGCGUGAACACAAUAAAAACACUGAGCAUUAAAAAAAGGAAUGUAACUAUAUAUUCAAAGGAGAGUUUUUAAUUCUUUUAAAAAGAAAAUAAAAUACAUUAUAUUCCUGAAGUUUCACAUUUUACAGAUGGGCAGACUGAGACUCAGAGAAGCUUAGAAACAGCCCCAGGCCACAGUGACAGAAGUUAAAUUUGAACUCAGCUUCGUCUGAUUCCAAAGUCCUUGCUCAUUGCACUAUGCCAGUGUUUCUUAAACUGGGCUGCUCUUCAGAAUCACCAGGGGAAUAGUUAAAACACAGAUUCCUGGGCUUGGCGCCAGACUCCCAAAUCACUGACCUGGGGCAGGCCUCAGCAAUCUCUCUUCACACACACCCCAGGCCUGAGUGAAGACCAGCCAAGUUUGGGAUCCACUUCUCUGCACCUCGCAGUGGGAAAGCUAAGAGGGUACAUGGAUGCCAAGGGAGCAGAGGGGAAGAGAACAGAAGGGGGCCUUCUAUGGCCUUGUCCAGGGCCGGCCCUCCUCACAGCUGAGAUCCUGGCCAUGAGACCCAGGGGACAAUUAACGAAAGCAAGAAAAGGCCUUUUGACUCAGCCGUUUUCCUUACAUCUCUGCUGUGCGAAGAGGAUAUCAUGCCUGUGGAAUUCUGCUGCAUCCACAGGCAUCUCCAGACCUAUUUUUUAAAUUCGCCAGGAAUGAAGAAAGAAAAGUCCGCCAAGUUUCAGAAUUUGCUAGUCAUUUUCCUGAUUCAGUAAAACUGCCUUGAUUUUAGUGUCCAUUGCUUCCAAGCCCGUGCUCUCUGAGAGUGGCUGGGAUGAAACUGACUGCCACACUAUCUUGGAAGCCAAUUCAUGAAGAAAGGAGAAAAAACCGGCAGGAGGGUACUGUUUAGCCAUGAGGAGCUCAAUGGUUACUUGAAGAAACAUUUUAGCAUAUCUGUAUAUAUCAAUAGGCACUACAGGAGCUCUGCUGGGGAACAGUAAUAACAGCUGCCAUUAACUGAGAGCUUAGUUUGUACAGGUUCACAGUCUCUUAUCCAUAAGUUGACCCUAUAAUGUAUCAUCCAAACUGAGCAAUUGUGAAAGUGAAAGUUGGGAGAGCUAUUAAUAAUGUCACCAGGACAAGGGCAAACCAGAAUAUCCCAAGCAAACUGGGAUGUAUGAUCACUCUAUCCAAAACCCUGAGCCAAAUGGGUUUCAAAUUCAGACUUUUAGAAGAUUUUACAGGAAAUACUGUACUUGCGUGUGUAUCACACACACAUACAAAUACCCUAGAGGGAUCCAGGGCAGCACCUCAUGAUCAAACGUUAUAUUUGUGCAGCAAAUACAUGAAUAUUCACAAGAGGGAUAAACACACACUUAAGGCCAAAUUUUGCCAUCUAAUGAUUUCUGAAAAAUACUUGUUUUCAGAAAAAUUUUUUUUUCAAAUUGUGGCAAGGGUUUGUGGACCUGUACCAAGAGCUUUAAGUACUUUCCAUAGUCUGGCAGAGAUGCUAGCUGUCCCACUGUAAAGGUCCUCCCCUUCUUUGAUAGUAGGUAAGUGUGCCCAUGGCCGUCUGGAAUAAAGACAACAUUUCCCAGUGUUCCUUGAAGCUAGGUGUGGUCAUGCGACUGAGCUGUGGCCAAUGAGAUUUGUAAGUGGAAAGAUGUGAUCAGGACAACCCACAAGUACAGGUACAGAUGUACCUGUUGUUGACAGAGGGCAUCCAUUCUGAUUAAUUGAAAUCCAUGUUGUAAAUACUUUAAAAAUUACUUCUGGUGUGCAAAAACUUCUGGGAAGUCUCUUUAGAGAAAUGCGUAUGCUCUUCUCCCCCCUCCCUCCUCCUUCCUCCUGGCUGGAGUGCGGACAUGAUGGUUGGACCCUGAGCAUCCACAUCACUUUUGACCACGAAGCUGAGGGCCACAGCUUCUGAGGAACCAGAAAGCUAGUAGGAUCUUGGGUCUGGAUAACUCCCUGGAUGGCCUACCUCUGGACAUUUGAUGCCUGCAAGUGGGCUGCGGUGGCUCUGCUUCAGACGGCGGGUCUUGUUCACAUCUGCUCCACGCGUCUCUGAAUUCUGGGACUAGUGGACGCUCAGGACGUGCUCUGCGUGUCAGGGUGAAGCUCAACCACACGAGCACAUUUACAGCUUCUGCUAAUGUUAUGCUCCAUUCCUUUGGCCAAAACAAGUCACAGGACAGACCAACAUCAAGGGGAGGGGACGAGGAUAAAGUGAACACCUGCAGGUGUUCAUCAUCAUCAUCUACAGAACUGAUUAACGUGUGACCCCGUCCUACUGCCGCACAUGCACCAGGGUCUUCCAGGCAUCACCCCUAGCAUCGCGGCAAGCCAGCCACUCCUCCUGAUCACUUCCCAUAAUUCCUGCACCUGACACAUGACAAAUGAGCAAGCUCUGACUGAUGAAUGAAUGAACGAAUGAACAAACGAACUGGGAAAGAAAAAAGCUGGAAGGAAUGUCAUACGUGGAUGAUGAUGUGACAACCACCAUUGUUGAGUUUCUCCGCCAAGGUUGAGUGUGCACCGGGAGGAAAGAUAUUAAAUAUCUGUAGUGGAUGUAGGAAAGGACAUUUGACGUGCCCUAAGCUGACGAGCCCCACCCCCGUGGGCCCCCAAGAAGAGGGGACCUCGUCUGUCCCUAAGUGUAAGCAUGACUCGAACGAACCCUGAAGCCUCCCGCAAAGAGGUCACUUGGCACCAAUUAAAAUCCAGGCCAUUACCUCAGCAGACUCCGUGGCUUCAUCCUCUCCAGAAGCAGGAACAGCCGGCACAGGAUUCUCAAGGCUGACUAGACUGGCACCAGGACCCAAUUUCACUUCAACGAACAUCGCAGGAGACCGGCGCCAACUGGAGCAACUGCCCACGCACACGGUUUGCGCCGUUGUGAGCAGCUGCUACAUGAGAAUGGAAGCUUGGAUCCACUGCAGCCAUCUUGCCGCCAUGAGGGAAGACAGCGGCAGCCGUGAAGAAGGCAGAGAGACAAGGUGGAAGAGCCUGAGUCCUUGAUGAUCUCUCAGAGAGUCCACACCAAUCCUGGGAUCACCUCCCUCUGACCUGCAGGUUUGCUGUGAUUAAUCAGCCCGAUCAUUUAGUUCUUUAUUCCAAGUGUUUUGUUAUUUGCAGCUGAAACAUCCUGAUAUACUGAUUCAUUAAAUUUCACUGUUUUUCAAAAUAAUUACUCUCACAUUGUUGGAGCUAGAAGAGAAGCUGGCAGAUCAACUAGCUUUAAGUCACUUUGUGAUAGAAGAACCUGAGGCAGAUGUAGAGACAGAACCAAAAGGACAAGCUUGGCCUCCUGGGUCUUGCCCCAUAGCAGAUUCCCCAACACCCUGAGGAGACUGAGCAUCCUGGGCAGAGCAAUGGUGAGGAACCAGGGGUCAGAGCCUGGAUCCUGGCAUCUGAGAGUCAUGGGCAAAGGGGCGGAAAAGAAGGGCAGAGUGGACUAAGCUUGAGCAGGGCUGUGGCCAGAGACACCUGAAACACCAGAGCCUGAGGAAGGGCAAGACGUGUGUCCAGCUCUUUCUGUCAGGGUUCAUACACACACACACACACAUACACUCACACACACAUACACUCACAGGCACCCAUGCACACACACACUCACAGGCACCCAUGCAUACACACACACAUAGAGGCACCCAUGCAUACACAUACACAGAAAGUUUCACAGGCACCCAUACACACAUACUCA